CAAUAGCGUAUAUUAAAGUUGUUGCAGUUAAAAAGCUCGUAGUUGGAUUUCUGAUCGAGACAUCAGGUCGGGUCCGAGAGGAUCAUGUACUUUGAUUUUGUUUUGAUCAUCCUUGGGGAGAGCAUCUCUGGCAUUCAGUUGUCGGGAUUGGGAUCCUCAUCGUUUACUGUGAAAAAAUUAGAGUGUUCAAAGCAGGCCUCGGCCUCUGAAUACAUUAGCAUGGAAUAAUAAGAUAGGACUUUGGUGGUCUAUUUUGUUGGUUUGCACGCCAAAGUAAUGAUUAAUAGGGAUAGUUGGGGGUAUUCGUAUUCAAUUGUCAGAGGUGAAAUUCUUGGAUUUAUGGAAGACGAACUACUGCGAAAGCAUUUACCAAGGAUGUUUUCAUUAA
rnacentral:rRNA from 1 species